rnacentral:rRNA from 1 species
AGAGUUUGAUCCUGGCUCAGAUUGAACGCUGGCGGCAGGCUUAACACAUGCAAGUCGAGCGGAAACGAUGGUAGCUUGCUACCAGGCGUCGAGCGGCGGACGGGUGAGUAAUACUUGGGUAUCUGCCUUAUCGUGGGGGACAACAGUUGGAAACGACUGCUAAUACCGCAUAAUUUCUACGGAACAAAGGUGGCCUCUUCUUGAAAGCUAUCGCGAUAAGAUGAACCCAAGCGGGAUUAGCUUGUUGGUGAGGUAACGGCUCACCAAGGCGACGAUCCCUAGCUGGUCUGAGAGGAUGAUCAGCCACACUGGAACUGAGACACGGUCCAGACUCCUACGGGAGGCAGCAGUGGGGAAUAUUGCACAAUGGGCGAAAGCCUGAUGCAGCCAUGCCGCGUGUGUGAAGAAGGCCUUCGGGUUGUAAAGCACUUUCAGUUGGGAGGAAAGGGUAACGGUUAAUAUCCGUUAUCUGUGACGUUACCAGCAGAAGAAGCACCGGCUAACUCCGUGCCAGCANCCGCGGUAAUACGGAGGGUGCAAGCGUUAAUCGGAAUUACUGGGCGUAAAGCGUACGCAGGCGGUUGGUUAAGCGAGAUGUGAAAUCCCCGGGCUCAACCUGGGAACUGCAUUUCGAACUGGCCAACUAGAGUAUGAGAGAGGGUGGUAGAAUUUCAGGUGUAGCGGUGAAAUGCGUAGAGAUNUGAAGGAAUACCGAUGGCGAAGGCAGCCACCUGGUUCAAUACUGACGCUCAUGUACGAAAGCGUGGGGAGCAAACAGGAUNAGAUNCCCUGGUAGUCCACGCCGUAAACGAUGUCUACUAGCAGCUCGGUUCGUUAAGAACGGUUUUGCGCAGCUAACGCGUUAAGUAGACCGCCUGGGGAGUACGGCCGCAAGGUUAAAACUCAAAGGAAUGACGGG